GUUGAACGCUGGCGGCAUGCUUUACACAUGCAAGUCGAACGGUAACAGGUUAAGCUGACGAGUGGCGAACGGGUGAGUAAUGCAUCGGAACGUGCCCGGUCGUGGGGGAUAACGCAGCGAAAGCUGCGCUAAUACCGCAUACGAUCUGAGGAUGAAAGCGGGGGACCGUAAGGCCUCGCGCGAUCGGAGCGGCCGAUGUCAGAUUAGGUAGUUGGUGGGGUAAAGGCUCACCAAGCCAACGAUCUGUAGCUGGUCUGAGAGGACGACCAGCCAAACUGGGGUGGAGACACGGCCCAGACUCCUACGGGAGGCAGCAGGGGGGAAUUUUGGACAAUUGGCGAAAGCCUGUUCCAGCAAUGCCGCGUGCAGGAAGAAGGCCUUCGGGUUGUAAACUGCUUUUGUACGGGGCGAAAAGGUCUCCUCUAAUACAGGGGGCUCAUGACGGUACCGUAAGAAUAAGCACCGGCUAACUACGUGCCAGCAGCCGCAGUAA
rnacentral:rRNA from 1 species